rnacentral:rRNA from 1 species
UACGAAGGGGGCUAGCGUUGUUCGGAUUUACUGGGCGUAAAGCGCACGUAGGCGGAUUGUUAAGUCAGGGGUGAAAUCCUGGAGCUCAACUCCAGAACUGCCUUUGAUACUGAAGAUCUUGAGUUCGGGAGAGGUGAGUGGAACUGCGAGUGUAGAGGUGAAAUUCGUAGAUAUUCGGAAGAACACCAGUGGCGAAGGCGGCUCACUGGUCCGGUACUGACGCUGAGGUGCGAAAGCGUGGGGAGCAAACAGG